GACGAACGCUGGCGGCGUGCCUAAUACAUGCAAGUAGAACGCUGAAGGAGGAGCUUGCUUCUCUGGAUGAGUUGCGAACGGGUGAGUAACGCGUAGGUAACCUGCCUGGUAGCGGGGGAUAACUAUUGGAAACGAUAGCUAAUACCGCAUAAUAGUAGAUGUUGCAUGACAUUUGCCUAAAAGGUGCAAUUGCAUCACUACCAGAUGGACCUGCGUUGUAUUAGCUAGUUGGUGGGGUAACGGCUCACCAAGGCGACGAUACAUAGCCGACCUGAGAGGGUGAUCGGCCACACUGGGACUGGGACACGGCCCAGACUCCUACGGGAGGCAGCAGUAGGGAAUCUUCGGCAAUGGACGGAAGUCUGACCGAGCAACGCCGCGUGAGUGAAGAAGGUUUUCGGAUCGUAAAGCUCUGUUGUAAGAGAAGAACGAGUGUGAGAGUGGAAAGUUCACACUGUGACGGUAUCUUACCAGAAAGGGACGGCUAACUACGUG
rnacentral:rRNA from 1 species